rnacentral:rRNA from 1 species
GAAAGGCAUCACGAGGGUUAUACUGUCUCCUUUUUCUAAUUAGUGAAACUAAUCUCCCCGUGAAGAAGCGGGGAUUAUACUAUAAGACGAGAAGACCCUAUGGAGCUUUAAAUAAUGUAACAAUUGCUACUUUAUCUUUACUUACCUUAUAACAUCUAGCAACAUGAUUACUAAUUUUUGGUUGGGGUGACCGCGGAGCACAAAAUAACCUCCACAUUGAAAGGAAGAUACUCCUAAGCUAAAAGCAACAACUUUAAGCAUCAAUAAAUUGACAUUAAUUGACCCAAUAUAUUUGAUCAACGAACCAAGUUACCCUAGGGAUAACAGCGCAAUCUACUUUAAGAGCCCAUAUCGACAAGUAG